rnacentral:rRNA from 1 species
GACGAACGCUGGCGGCGUGCUUAACACAUGCAAGUCGAACGGAAAGGCCCUGCUUUUGUGGGGUGCUCGAGUGGCGAACGGGUGAGUAACACGUGAGUAACCUGCCCUUGACUUUGGGAUAACUUCAGGAAACUGGGGCUAAUACCGGAUAGGAGCUCCUGGUGCAUGGUGGGGGUUGGAAAGUUUCGGCGGUUGGGGAUGGACUCGCGGCUUAUCAGCUUGUUGGUGGGGUAGUGGCUUACCAAGGCUUUGACGGGUAGCCGGCCUGAGUGGGUGACCGGCCACAUUGGGACUGAGAUACGGCCCAGACUCCUACGGGAGGCAGCAGUGGGGAAUGUUGCACACUGGGCGGAAGCCUGAUGCAGCAACGCCGCGUGCGGGAUGACGGCCUUCGGGUUGUAAACCGCUUUCGCCUGUGACGAAGCGUGAGUGACGGUAAUGGGUAAAGAAGCACCGGCUAACUACGUG